rnacentral:rRNA from 1 species
GACGAACGCUGGCGGCGUGCCUAAUACAUGCAAGUAGGACGCACAGUUUAUACCGUAGCUUGCUACACCAUAGACUGUGAGUUGCGAACGGGUGAGUAACGCGUAGGUAACCUGCCUAUUAGAGGGGGAUAACUAUUGGAAACGAUAGCUAAUACCGCAUAACAGUAUGUAACACAUGUUAGAUGCUUGAAAGAUGCAAUUGCAUCGCUAGUAGAUGGACCUGCGUUGUAUUAGCUAGUAGGUAGGGUAAUGGCCUAUCUAGGCGACGAUACAUAGCCGACCUGAGAGGGUGAUCGGCCACACUGGGACUGAGACACGGCCCAGACUCCUACGGGAGGCAGCAGUAGGGAAUCUUCGGCAAUGGGGGGAACCCUGACCGAGCAACGCCGCGUGAGUGAAGAAGGUUUUCGGAUCGUAAAGCUCUGUUGUUAAGGAAGAACGAGUGUGAGAAUGGAAAGUUCAUACUGUGACGGUACUUAACCAGAAAGGGACGGCUAACUACGUGCCAGCAGCCGCGGUAAUACGUAGGUCCCGAGCGUUGUCCGGAUUUAUUGGGCGUAAAGCGAGCGCAGGCGGUUAGAAAAGUCUGAAGUGAAAGGCAGUGGCUCAACCAUUGUAGGCUUUGGAAACUGUUUAACUUGAGUGCAGAAGGGGAGAGUGGAAUUCCAUGUGUAGCGGUGAAAUGCGUAGAUAUAUGGAGGAACACCGGUGGCGAAAGCGGCUCUCUGGUCUGUAACUGACGCUGAGGCUCGAAAGCGUGGGGAGCGAACAGG